rnacentral:rRNA from 1 species
UACGUAGGGGGCAAGCGUUGUCCGGAUUUAUUGGGCGUAAAGAGCGUGUAGGCGGUCAGGUAGGUCUGCUGUGAAAACUCGAGGCUCAACCUCGAGCUGUCGGCGGAAACCAUCUGGCUAGAGUCCGGAAGAGGAGAGUGGAAUUCCUGGUGUAGCGGUGAAAUGCGCAGAUAUCAGGAAGAACACCUAUGGCGAAGGCAGCUCUCUGGGACGGUACUGACGCUGAGACGCGAAAGCGUGGGGAGCGAACAGG